UCAGAAUGUCGCGGUGAAUACGUUCCCGGGCCUUGUACACACCGCCCGUCACACCAUGAGAGCUGGUAACACCCGAAGUCCGUGAGGUAACCGUAAGGAGCCAGCGGCCGAAGGUGGGAUUAGUGAUUGGGGUGAAGUCGUAACAAGGUAGCCGUAGGAGAACCUGCGGCUGGAUCACCUCCUUUCUAAGGAGA
rnacentral:rRNA from 1 species